GACGAACGCUGGCGGCGUGCUUAACACAUGCAAGUCGAACGAGCUCCAACCAGUCGCAAGACUGGGGAAGAGCUAGUGGCGAACGGGUGAGUAACACGUGAGCAACCUGCCUCGAAGACUGGGAUAACAGCGGGAAACCGCUGCUAAUACCGGAUAUCCCCAUUGGGCCGCAUGACCCGAUGAGGAAAUGAAUUUCGCUUCGGGAGGGGCUCGAGGGCGAUCAGGUUGUUGGUGGGGUAACGGCCCACCAAGCCUACGACGGCUAGGUGGUCUGAGAGGACGACCAGCGGCACGGGCACUGAGACACGGCCCAGAAUCCUACGGGAGGCAGCAGUGGGGAAUCGUGCGCAAUGGGCGAAAGCCUGACGCAGCAACGCCGCGUGCGGGAUGACGGCCUUCGGGUUGUAAACCGCUUUCAGCAGGGACGAAAUUGACGGUACCUGCAGAAGAAGCUCCGGCCAACUACGUGCCAGCCGCCGCGGUAACAC
rnacentral:rRNA from 1 species